UGAUUGAUGUCUUGAUAACCAAGCAUUAGUCCUUCGAACUUGGUUGGGUAUUACCCACUGUGCCAAUACUUAAUCCUUUCCCUAGAGUUGAGAUUGCUAACUCAAGCGGGUUUUUGGAGCGCCAAAAGUAAGAAACACUAAAACAUUAAAAAAAAAAAAAAAAAAAAAAUUGUCAUUAGACGUCCCUUUUUUGUUACCUGAAAUAACUGUCACCCGAAUUUUAGGUCAUGAGAAGUCAAUUUCUAUCAUCAAAUUGCAGGAGCAAGCAACAUUCGGCUAUUUUUCAAAUGCCUGUAAUUAUAAACUUUUGCUUUGGACAAGCACAGUGCCAACCGAAUAUUUAGCACUGCAUGGGUUAAAAGGGAUGAUGAUAUCGUUGAUUCUUUCCAGGACCCCUAGGGGAUCAAUCACUUCAGGUUUAUUGAGCGCCUCAAAUUCCUUCCUUUGAAGAUUCAUUAUAUGAGCACAAAUUAAAUCUGCGAUUCGAGUAUCACUUGCUUUAAAAGUCGCUUGGGUGAGUAAAUUAUUAUAGCUGUGAAAAGUAAAGAAGUGUGCAUAAUUAUUAUGCUUAUUGCAUCGUAUAAUGCAAAAAGAGAAACACAAGACAUUUGACAUAGACACAUUCUCUUUGAUGUUCAUAUGUCCCAAGCUUUGUUCUCUUUUCUGUCUAUUUUGUUGUGCUCUUACUGAUGAGUGAGUAAAGAAUACUGAUUGAUGAGUA